rnacentral:rRNA from 1 species
UCAUCACAUCCUGGGGCUGUAGUCGGUCCCAAGGGUAUGGCUGUUCGCCAUUUAAAGUGGUACGCGAGCUGGGUUCAGAACGUCGUGAGACAGUUCGGUCCCUAUCUGCCAUGGGCGUUGGAGAUUUGAGAGGGGCUGCUCCUAGUACGAGAGGACCGGAGUGGACGAACCUCUGGUGUUCCGGUUGUCACGCCAGUGGCAUUGCCGGGUAGCUAUGUUCGGAAGCGAUAACCGCUGAAAGCAUCUAAGCGGGAAGCGCGCCUCAAGAUGAGAUCUCCCGGGGCACAAGCCCCCUGAAGGAACCAUGUAGACUACGUGGUUGAUAGGUCAGGUGUGUAAGUACAGCAAUGUAUUGAGCUAACUGAUACUAAUGAUCCGUGCGGCUUGACCAUAUAACCUCA